UACGUAGGGGGCGAGCGUUGUCCGGAUUUAUUGGGCGUAAAGGGUCCGGAGGCGGUCGUUGAAGUUUCGCGUGACAGUCCUCGGCUUAACUGAGGAAGGAUGCGGAAAACUGAGCGACUUGAGGGCGUAAGAGGAAAGCGGAAUUCCGGGUGGAGUGGUGAAAUGCGUAGAUAUCGUAAGGAAGACCAGUGGCGAAGGCGGGUCUCUGGACAGAUCCUGACACUGAGGCACGAAGGCCAGGGGAGCAAACGGG
rnacentral:rRNA from 1 species